rnacentral:rRNA from 1 species
CCUACGGGAGGUAGCAGUGGGGAAUAUUGCACAAUGGGGGAAACCCUGAUGCAGCAACGCCGCGUGAAGGAAGACAGUUUUCGGAUUGUAAACUUCUGUUCUUAGUGAAGAAUAAUGACGGUAGCUAAGGAGCAAGCCACGGCUAACUACGUGCCAGCAGCUGCGGUAAUACGUAGGUGGCAAGCGUUGUCCGGAUUUACUGGGUGUAAAGGGCGUGUAGCCGGGUUGACAAGUCAGAUGUGAAAUCCUGCGGCUUAACCGCAGAACUGCAUUUGAAACUGUUGAUCUUGAGUACUGGAGAGGCAGACGGAAGUCCUAGUGUAGCGGUGAAAUGCGUAGAUAGUAGGAGGAACACCAGUGGCGAAGGCGGUCUGCUGGACAGCAACUGACGGUGAGGCGCGAAAGCGUGGGGAGCAAACAGGAUUAGAUACCCCAGUAGUC